rnacentral:rRNA from 1 species
GGAUUAGAUACCCUGGUAGUCCACGCCGUAAACGUUGAGCACUAGUUGUUGUGGGUACUGACCCCUGCAGUGACGACGCUAACGCAUUAAGUGCUCCGCCUGGGGACUACGGCCGCAAGGCUAAAACUCAAAGGAAUUGACGGGGGCCCGCACAAGCGGUGGAGUAUGUGGUUUAAUUCGACGACGCGCAGAACCUUACCCGGUCUUGACAUCGAGGGAAAGCCCGUAGAAAUACGGACCCCCACCUUCGGGUGGCCCAAAGACAGGUGCUGCAUGGCUGUCGUCAGCUCGUGUCG